rnacentral:lncRNA from 1 species
CAAGAUUAUAUAAACUUUAAGAAGGACUCGAAGCAAAAACAAAAAGAAAAGGUGGAUCUGGUAGAGUCUAUCAGAGGCAAAAGUAUUUUAAUAUAACAUGAGGAGUUGGCAGAGUCGGACAGUCAAAUUCAAAACCUUCCUUAGCAGGUCUGGCAGAAGCAGAAGGGAAGGGCUUUGCAGUUUGUGAUGAAGAACUAUUACAUACAUCACAGUCUCAUCACCUACCCAUUCUCCUGUUCUCCCAGGGCACCUACCUUACUGUAUGUCACUACCGACAAGUUGUUCGAGUGACUGCUGGGGGAGAGAUUUACAGAGUUUUGUGACAGUCCAUUCUGAUCUUGUUCAAUUUGGUCAGGAGCAGGCCCCCACGUGUUUUUGCUGAUUGUGCCUAGCUCAGAACCCCCAGGGUCUUUUAGGUUGUUUUCAUCUGGUUGCCUGUUCUUCUGUGGAGAGGCGAAUGGGUUAAAGUUUCCUUCUACCUUGCGGUGCGGUUGUGUGUUGAACUCCGUUUCAAAGGAUGACAGCUGCUGUGUUACUCCUAGAAGUCCUCCAACUUCCACACUGAGGAUCACCCAGAUGACAUCUCCGUAAUACAGUCCUGUGGCAGUGCACAUUCGCCACUGUCCCUGAUACAUUCCUGCUGUGCUGGGGCUGCACAUCUGAACGCUGACAUCUGCAAUCUCCUGGGGCUCCAGGGACCUGACCAUUACCAUGUUUACAUGGCCAAACUGGUCUCCCCCAACGUACUUCAGACAAACUCCUGGAGGCCAUACUUCUGUCCCUGUGUUUUGUAUCCUCCAUGUUUUCGUAAACUGGGUGUCAGGAGGAAUGGACUCUCCUUCACCUAUGGUGACAUCUUCAACAAAGGACAUGGAGGGUACGUUGAUGUUUGGACUCUCAAAAUCAUAAUAGGCUCCAAUGGCGGCUUGUAGAUUCCAGUUGGUCAUGUCGAGGAAGAAGGCGCAGCCGGCCGGGCUAAGCUGGAAGCCGAGGAGCCGCUGGAACUCGCCGAUCAGCACGUCCUUGUCGGUAGUACCCAAGCAGCUGAACUUCUGCAUCAGCUCCGCGUCCAAAUCCACGUCCAUGCCCUCCAUGGCGACGCGGGCCCCGCCGCCCCGGGGCCGCCCCGCUGCCACCGCCGCCGCCUCAGCGCCGCAUGGGGGCGAGGGGGGAGCGCGGGCACGGCGGGGGCGGGGGGGAGGGGAGGGGGCGCGGGCGACGCCAGCCGCUAACGGCACCGCGCACGCGCCGCUCCGCCCGGCGCACGCGCUUGUGACGUCACCGCGCCGGCGUCGCCCCGCGUUCUGUACGUGGAGAGAGAAGGCGGAAGGAGAACGGCAAGGGCGAGCGGGGCGCGGAUGCAAAUGAGCGCGUGGCGUACGCCUGGCGUGACGCGAGGGCGCCGCGAAGACCAAUGAGAGCGGUGGAAGGGAAGGCGAUUUGCAUAGCCCCCCAGCCGCGCGUUCCCAUAUAUGGAGGCGGCGCGGGAGGCGAGCCGCGUGUUUAUGUAUGCAAAUCAAUCACGUGCGGACGGGCCCUGUGACGUCACCGAGCCCUGUGGGGCGGCGCAAGGGCUGCUGGGACGGCGGGGCGGGCGCGCGCCUUCGGGCCUGGAAUUUUCCUCUAAGUGCGAUUUUUCGCCCGAAUUCCCCCCAAAAUGUCGCUUUUUGCUAAAGUUUCCCAUUUCACAGUGGCAGUACCGCACACUGGGCCCUGGCCUCAGCGCUACAAGUUGUGUCUCACGUCGGAAGCCGAAAUGAUGUCUCUAACACAGGCCCUGUCCUCACCCCUCAGCACUGAUGGAGCACAGGGCAAGCACAGCCCGUUGUACCUUCAUUUCUGACGUUGUUUUUAACAUACUGGGCUUUAAUUAUGCAUGCUAUGCUACCAAAGGUAUUUUCCUAAACACAGGCCCAGCUCAGGGCUGUGCAGUGCUGUGCAGGGCGGUUUCGCUCUGACGGUGCUACCCUUGUGUUUGUUGUAUGGGUGGAGGGGCCGUUCUCAGCAUGGGAGAAGUGAGAAGUGAAUAGUGGCUGUACGGGGGUGGGGGUCAGCAUGGGGACUGCACAGAAAAACAUACAGUGGGAUUCCAAGAAAAAUAAAUAGAGCAUAGCACUGCGUGGUGUUCGUUUUUUGCUGUAAGGCUUAAUAAGGGGCAGUGCUCCCUGUCCCUGCAGCCCCAGCCACCAGGGUCAAGCUGUCGCUGCCCAUGUUGUAUGCUGGACCUUGUGAUCUGUGAUGCUGAUACAGACUGUGGCAGCAGGGCUGUGUCCAUGGCCGUGCCAAGCACCUGCCUGCCCCCCUGGUGUCUGGAAGCUCCAGGUUCAACCACAGGAUUGUAGAAUGGCUCUGUGAUUGAAAGCUUUAUAGUGGCAUUGUGGAGGAAAGGACUUUAAAUCAUAGACGGCUCUGUGGUGGAUUUAAAUAUCAUCCAGCCCCAACAUCCCUUUCAUGGUCUGAGUGUUCUCCACCAGAUCAGGAUGCCCAGAGCUCCAUCCAGCCUGGUCUUGAGCAACCCCAGGGAUGGGGCACUCACAACUUCAGGAUCCUCACCCAUGGUACUGGCACACCCCAGGGCUCUGGGCACGGCCCCAAUUUGCCAGAGCUCAAAGGGCAUUGGGACACUGCUCUCAGCCAUAGAGUUUGGGUUUGAG